AGCACCCGCGGCGCACACUAACCUGAUCACCGUGGAGGCGGGAUCUGCGGCCCGAGGAUGAACGGCAGCAGCUUGAGCCAAUCGCCGCCGAGGGUCUCCGGGCAACAGCCAAUGGUGGCGGCGGCGGGGGGGGAAGGGACCAAUGGGCGGACUGCGCAGCCGGCCAGGGAGGCUCAGCCAUUUGGUUGUGGUGCCGGAGACGGACCCCUUUAGAUUUCGGGGCGGCUGAGGAGCGCGGCGGCUGCUCGCUGGCUGAGCGAGGGGGGUGGGCGGAAUGGCGGGGGAAGGGAAGGUGACUGUGCCUCGAGGGCCGAGCCGCCUGGCCUCACCAGCCCGCCGCCGCCUCAGCGUUUGGCCGGGGGCGGGGCCGCAGCUUGAAUCACAUCCACCGGAACCUGGCCAUAGGACUUUUUCACCUACAUCAUGGCUCUGCUGCCUGGACCCCAAAAAACAAUGAUAUGGAAAAACUCCAGCUUCAUUAUGUUCUUUGUCUUUCUAUAUAAAUAGCUUUUAGAAAUGUAGAUUAUUCUUUUGAAAUCCAUGGUAACAAAUGUGAAGACUACAGCAUUUUGAUUUGAAUAGCAAAGCAAUGUUGAGGCCCAGGAUCUAAAAAGUUAGCUAGUCUUAAUUCUUUUGCUUAAUAAAGAAUUGGAUGGUUUUAUUUUUUAAAUUAUUGAAUACUUUAUCAAUGGGUUGGUUAUGGAAAAAAGCACUGUUAGAUGAAAAUAGUCGUAUGUGAUUUUAGAAAUUAAUAGCAAGAAAUCUUAAAACAGCUUAAAGAUGGUUUAUUUUGAAAAGGAAAGAGAAAUAAAAACUAUUACCUGAA